rnacentral:rRNA from 1 species
UAGGGAAUCUUCCGCAAUGGACGAAAGUCUGACGGAGCAACGCCGCGUGAGUGAUGAAGGUUUUCGGAUCGUAAAACUCUGUUGUUAGGGAAGAACAAGUACCGUUCGAAUAGGGCGGUACCUUGACGGUACCUAACCAGAAAGCCACGGCUAACUACGUGCCAGCAGCCGCGGUAAUACGUAGGUGGCAAGCGUUGUCCGGAAUUAUUGGGCGUAAAGCGCGCGCAGGUGGUUUCUUAAGUCUGAUGUGAAAGCCCACGGCUCAACCGUGGAGGGUCAUUGGAAACUGGGGAACUUGAGUGCAGAAGAGGAAAGUGGAAUUCCAAGUGUAGCGGUGAAAUGCGUAGAUAUUUGGAGGAACACCAGUGGCGAAGGCGACUUUCUGGUCUGUAACUGACACUGAGGCGCGAAAGCGUGGGGAGCGAAACAGGAUUAGAUACCCUGGUAGUCCACGCCGUAAACGAUGAGUGCUAAGUGUUAGAGGGUUUCCGCCUUUAGUGCUGCAGCUAACGC